UCUCCAGCUGGUUUUGGACUGCAACUCUCAUCAUUCCUACAUAGUAGGACCACUAGUCAGGGAUGAUGGGAACUGUAGUCCAAGAGCAGCUGGAGA